GGUGGAAUACGUCGACCGUUAGGGCUGUCACUACCCUAAGGCUACCACAAGAAUCCGCAGGAUUGGGUGCAAUUCCAGGUAAUUGCAAGACUAAACACCACGUCUAAUCUAUUAAUUACUACUCUAAUGUUUCAAAGAUUAGAGCACUUGAUCCAAGCGGGAAUCCAAUAAAUAACUUGAAUGUAAAUAAAAGUAAUUAGAGAACUCAGGAGUUAUGAAUUGAAGAACCUGGAGAACGAUGAAGAACGAACCAGAUGCUGCAAAAGUACAAUGUUGAGGAAGAUCCGACAGAUCCGGCUCCUCCUCCGCUCUCCUCUUCUCUCUCCCUAUUUUCUAGAUUACAACUAGAACUAACUAGAACUAGAACUAGAGGAACUAGAACUAGAACUAGAUGAACUAGAACUAGAUCUAGAUGAACUAGAGGUAGAACUAGAAGAACUAGAGGGAUCCUCUCUACUUGGAGGAAGAAUUGAAACCCUAACUUUGAUUCUAUAGAAGAGGUAUGAUCUCCAGGGGCCAGGGGGGUCUGGUUUCAUAGUCCCUUCAAGUGAAUCUGGGCCGUUGGAUCAAACCGACAUUGAUUGAACGGUUAUUGUUGAUCCUUUAGGUCGGUGGAGCAAUAUCCCGAAAGAGAGUCCUGAUUGGACUCUGGCUGAGGGCGGGCGCCCAGGAAAGGAGGGCGGGCGCCCUGUCCCUGUGUCCUCUCGGCCUCCGCUUCGGUCCCGUGGCUUCUGGAGUCUUCUAGAUGAUAGAAAAUUGCAUGGCACGUUAAUAUCUCUAUGUAAACCUGACGUGUGGGCCUUUCUUUUAUAUUUCCUGAUAACCCCCUGCAGAAAUACACAAACACCAAAACUUGUGGAAUUCUGUCAGAUAAAACCCUAAGUCUAGGUGUUGGUUGCAUUUGGAUCCUUUUCCAUUAUUAGUUGAUGGUUAAAUAUGAGCAUUAAGGACCGUCAACAAGCUCCCCAAGCUUAACCUUUGCUCGUCCCUGAGCAAAGAUGAACUCAAGAGUUUCUGCAGUGGUUUCAUAACUUAAAGAUACACAUGCGUUUAAACAAGAUCUCAUCUCUAGUUAGAGUAAACUGUUAAGACUUAAAACUUACUCAUUUACCUUUCACCAUGGGACUUGUAACCGUCACUUCUGUCUUGAGUAGUUAAAAGAUAGAACGGUCUAGUCAAGUGCCAUGUCUCUUGUUCUUCGAUUAACUAUAGCUCUAGAGUUUUUGCAGAUUUUCAAAUAAAACUCAGAGUUUCCUUGUAUGACUCUCUCUAGUCUCUCAUUUGUGGUAUUUCUGGAUCCUUACCAAGGCAUUAAUGGUGUAUGCCUUCUCUCAAAGUAUGUGGUAUUUUUGGUAUAAGGCAUAGUGGCAUUGCCUUCUCUCUCACCCUACUCUAAUAAGGCUUUUGAUAUCUGGAGCUCAUAGGUGGGAGACAGCUAAUACAUACUUACAAGACAUUUAUUGCAUAGUCAAACCAUGGAUCUAGAAGAACAAGUCAAUAAGUCAAAUCAAGAUGUGCAUGUGUGGCGAAUGAAUGGUGUAUGGUGAUGAUGGUGAUAACAAUGGUGAAAGUCUAAUUCUACUUUUGCUCUUUUGAGGGGAUACAUACCUUUCUUGCUCUUUUGAAACUUUUUGAGGAGGGUGAGAUGCUCUGUAUUUUCUUUUUCUUUUCUCUCAGGUGGGUAUCUUGCACCCCUAAUUCUACUGUCGGACACUUGUCCAUUUUUACCUCUCGUCUCACUUUUUUUUUUUUCUUUCGAGGUUCCGGGCACUUGCCCCUUUUUAUUUCCACGUAUUCUUCUUUUUUUUCUUUUUUUUUCUUUAGAGCACUCAUCUCAUGAGAUAAUAUAGCAAGUGGUAGUAACAAGAUAACUUGAGCAUUUAUUUCACAAGAAAAAAUAGAAAUAUUUUUGGCUAUUCUCUCCCGGAUUAGGACUAGAAUAUUUUUGGGUGGUUUUGGAGAUGGAAAUGGGUAUAUGUGGAUGGUACUUCCAGAGUAGAAGUAGCAUGUAUGAGUGAACGUGCAAGUGAAUCUUGACUUAACCACAUGACAAGCUCCUAAGGGUCUACACAGCUUGACCACACUCAAUGCUCAUAAGCAGUAAAGUAAGUGUGUGGCUCAAAGUCUAGCAAGCAUGUAUAUAUGGCUGUGGUAGCAAUUUAAACUCUCAUCAUACAGGAACUCAUCAUGUAAUAUUUUAAAGAUUUUCAAAGAUAAAAUUCUCCAGAAUUCUAGCAUCUCUAGGAAGAGAUAAACAGCAGCUCAACCUUCCCAUAUCAUAUCCGUUAACGACUUAGACUUCAGAUCAAGUACUCUUCCCACAAGUUUAGGUUCAGAGCAAAUCUUAAUUUAUAACCGUCAUGCCUAAACUUGAGAGAGAUUUCAAUUUUUAGAACUAAUCAUGGCAGAGCAACUAUUCAUUAUUUCUAUGUGAGAGCUUAUCAUGAGGGUUCAUAGCAAACCUUAUUUAUUUAUUUAUUUAGCAAACUAAGCAAAGAUAUAUAUAAGCACAAAAUCUUUAUUUGGGUUUUUAUGAUUAUGAAUCUUUUUAUUAUUUGAGUAAAGUAUAAACGUGAGUAGAAACACUUAGCUGGAUAAAUGGGGGUGCUCUCCCCCAAGCUUGAUUUUGACGAAGUUUCUUCUGAUGUAGCUAGCAGGUGGCGGAGGUGUAUUUGAAUGUCAGCAGCAUUCUGACAGUGAUUAGGAUGUCCUCCGUCAGCUAGUCUUCUUUGAUCCUUGAAUUCUGUGGAGCUCAAAUAGACAACAAAGCUUUGUGGAACUGGUUAAGUGUUAGCAUAAAUACCUAGCCUUUAUUAUGUUGAGCCUCCUCAAUAAAUGUUACUCUCUUUGGUAGGAUCAUAAAUCUAUUUUUAUAAUUUUAUUUUUAUAGGACAGAAAUAUAUUUAUUUUAUUUUUAUGCCACCACAGUGAAUGUACUUAUGGGUUUUAUGCCAUGAGCAUACUCACAUGGGGCUUAUUUAACAUUUUUAUUUUCUUUUCAAGAUGAUAUGAACCUUAUUAACUAAGCAAACUAUUUUAAAAUAAUUGAAAGGAAAAAGAUAACUACCAAAUUUACCUCUUGGCAAGGCGUUCGGUGCUUUUAAGUCCUCCGAACGGGACUCUCCGUUUUCUCAGUCGUCCUGGGAUUCGCUGGGUGGCGUAGUCAGUGGUUCCGGCGGCACUUCUUCUUCGUGUAAAACUAUCUUCUUUCUCCACACCUAACUCGGUGCUACGGUCUCCUGAGGACAGUUCUGUUCAAGCUGUAUGUCUUUAGACAUUACUAUUUCUUCUUCAUAGUCUGCUCAUCCGUCCUUGAUGAUUUUGCCUCCUCUGGUUGCGGUUGCAUCGUCGUCUUCUUGUCCUGACCUGCUUAGAGUCUUUAACUAUAUAGUUAGGGUCAGUAAAAUAGCGGCGUACCUUCUCAGAGGGGAAGUUCAUGUGGACUUCUCCGGUUCCAAUGUAGAUGAUUAUUUUAACGGUGCUGAGGAACUGUCUCCCAAGGAUGAUGGGUGGAUCGUGCUCAUCUUUUCCCAUGUCAAUAACCAUUCAGAAUGUCUGAUCUGCCAUCUGAAGCUGAAUGUAUGUCGGUUUUAGGGGCAUGGUUCUGAAUAUGAGCUGAUAGGUGAGUAGCGGCCAUUAUGUUGACGCCUGACCCAAUGUCGCAAAGCAUCUUGUGGAAGUUGUAUCCAUCAAUGGAGUACUGGAUGCUUGGCAUACUUGGGUCGUCCUUUUUGGUUAGGAAUGGUGACUUAAGUCGACGAUCUUGACCUCCUUGAACUGUAGUGACCAUCUUAGCUGACUUGGUCCACAUUUGCUUCUUCCUGUUCCUCCUGUUGGUCCUCUUCCUUGGUUCAUGUCGGGAUUGCUCUGAGAUUUGUAUAGCUUGUUCUUGAAGGAAAACGUCUCCGUCCUUCCCUUGAUGUAGAAACUGAUCUUGGCAGCACUAGCGUAGAUGACAGCUCCCGAGGUGUUCAGCAAUGGCCUCCCUAGGAUGAUGGGUGCCCUCUCAUCAGCAUCAGUCUCUAUCACCACGAAGUCUGCUGGAGCGUAUAAGGUACCAACUCGGACGUAAAGGUUCUUCAAUAUUCCCUUUGGGAAACUUAGUGUGUGAUCUGCAAGCCUGAGCAUAAUGUCGAUGCUGGAGCCAAAGUCGCAGAGUGCUUCUGGGAAGUCCACCAUGCCGAUAGAGAUCGGGAUGACGGGGCGUCCUGGAUUGUCUCUCUUGACCGGCAGAAGGUUAGUAAUUACUUCCACAACGGGGUUACUCCAGUAGUUACGUCCUCAAGCAUCUCAAGGCAGUGAUUGUCUGAGUGUCCAGUAUCUCCAGUGUGUUUGUGCUCGUAGAUCUAGGUUAUUCGCUUGGUGGAGUCUAGGAGUUGUAAAAGUCCUUCAUAUUUUGCUCGAAGUGUACCUGCUCAUAGAGACAAGGGAAAGAUCAAGUGCAUGGGCCCUGUAGGUGGAAAACACCAACAGAACCAAAAGUGUAUUUGUUCUCUCUAACCUUAAGCAUAGUGAGCAAGACAAAGUUGAUGGAUAAUAAGACCAUGAGUGUAACAUUUAAAACAUUUGUCAGAUCAGAUCACUCAACCUUAUGGAAAGAUAAUCUAUCUAAGUAAAUGGUUUUUUUUCUUUACAUGACUAUCAUUUUCCAAAGAUUGAGUGUGCAACAUUUUAGCUCAUAUGAUUAGGAUUGUAGGAUCACAAAGGUGGAAAGACUAAACAUGUUGAAUCGAUUGGGUUGAUUAAUCUAAAGUUGUAAAUCAUACAUGUUUGUCUGUUUAUUCAUGUGAACACUAGAACCAAGGAGAAACUUAUAAAAGUGAUAGUCAAGUACCUUAAGAUGUUACCUUACUCGAAGAGUGAUGGUACAAUAUCACCUUGUGGAAGCUUUCCUUUCUUAGCGGUUGUGCAUCAUGUUUGUGGCACCCUCCAUAGAUCAUCUCUUGUGAGCUAUGCCUUCCUUGUGUAAAUUGUUAAACUUCAUGUGCCUCUCUCUUUGUCUCCAACGUGAGUUUAUCUCAGGACUUCCCAGGUCGAUAUUAAAAGUUUUCCUGUAGGGGUUAGUCCAACAAAAUAUCCAAUAUCUACUAUAGCAUACUAUCGGCUCAAAAAUCAACCUAGACACCAUGUCUAAUUUGAUUUAGGAGGGUAUUUUAACCUAAGCACCAUGCUUAAUCUAAAAUCCCUUGGAAGUAAGAUCAUCAUUCCUAGCUAAGCACCAUGCUUAAUUAAGAGAUAAAUGGAACUACUCCAAACCUAGACAUAUACUAAAGCAAAUAAAGGUGGCAUGAGAGCAUUUACAGAGAUCUACUCAAGUGGAGAUGAAGUAGUGUGAUUAGUAUUUAACAAAUUGAGCAUGUCUCAAAGGUAAGGAUAACCAACAUAGCAACAUGGCAAAGGAUGUUUUUAUGUAAAGUACUCCCCCAAGCUUGAAUUUUGCAAAAUUCAAGUUUGGAUAAAUUUAAUUCAAUGUUGUAUGAUGAUUGGUUGUACAUACCUUGUGCUUGUCAUUCAUCCGAUCUUCUUGCUCCAAUCCUGGAAAGGUUAGUGACAAGAAUACCGAAGGAAUUUUUCUACAAUUAUCCUUAUAUGCUCGAUACACAAGGUAAUGUUGCAAAUAAUUAAAAGCUCAUGUUACGAUCUGAUCAGUGCUUAUUUUAGAACACUAAGCUUGUCCUUGGGAAACCAUCAAUUUAUGUCGGCGAAGUGGUUUCCCCUCCAACGCUGACCUAUAUCAAGAUCAACUCAACGAGAUCUGUAAUAUUUCUUAUAGACAUAUGCAUCGACAACCGCCCUGAAAGCUUGUUGGGUUGGAGAUCUCGAAUGUGGUGAUGUUGGAGAGACCAAUGGAUUGUGAAGAUGUUGCAUAUGAGCAUGGAGUAAAUGAAGUGGCUAUGAAAUAAAUUCCAUGCUCAUUAAUGCUUAGAGUGAAAUCCAUGUGGUAUGGUGAAAAUGAUAAGGUGAGUAUGGUGAAAAAGGAAAAGAAAAAGGAUACACGGACGACUUGGUUCGAAACUAGCACAGCUACCGUUCCCCGGCAACGGCGCCAGAAAGCUUGUUGGGUAUUUUAAACGGAAACAGAAAAAUCCGCAAGCGCACGGAUACCGAUGUAGCCUUCACCCGGGAGUAUUCCAGAGUAUCGAUUUUCCACAGAGAACGUGAGUGUACUAAUUAAGAUCCAAGAUCGCCCAAGGAUAACUAUAUAAUUAUUUUUGGUGGGAAGAGAGGAAGUUUCCUGAGAGUUCUCUAGUUGAUCUAAGAAUCAAGAAUUACUUCAAGAUUAUCUAUAUCGUUACAUCAGAGCACUAACCACAGAAAGAGAUGAGAAGGGGGCUAGGAAGGUCUGACUACGGUCCUACAAACACCGACCCGAACGUGGUGGAAUACGUCGACCGUUAGGGCUGUCACUACCCUAAGGCUACCACAACAAUCCGCAGGAUUGGGUGCAAUUCCAGAUAAUUGCAAGACUAAACACCACGUCUAAUCUAUUAAUUACUACUCUAAUGUUUCAAAGAUUAGAGCACUUGAUGCAAGCAGGAAUCCAAUAAAUAACUUGAAUGUAAAUAAAAGUAAUUAGAGAACUCAAGAGUUAUGAAUUGAAGAACCUGGAGAACGAUGAAGAACGAACCAGAUGCUGCAAAAGUACAAUGUUGAGGAAGAUCCGACAGAUCCGGCUCCUCCUCCGCUCUCCUCUUCUCUCUCCCUAUUUUCUAGAUUACAACUAGAACUAACUAGAACUAGAACUAGAGGAACUAGAACUAGAACUAGAUGAACUAGAACUAGAUCUAGAUGAACUAGAGGUAGAACUAGAAGAACUAGAGGGAUCCUCUCUACUUGGAGGAAGAAUUGAAACCCUAACUUUGAUUCUGUAGAAGAGGUAUGAUCUCCAGGGGCCAGGGGGGUCUGGUUUUAUAGUCCCUUCAAGUGAAUCUGGGCCGUUGGAUCAAACCGACAUUGAUUGAACGGUUAUUGUUGAUCCUUUAGGUCGGUGGAGCAAUAUCCCGAAAGAGAGUCCUGAUUGGACUCUGGCUGAGGGCGGGCGCCCAGGAAAGGAGGGCGGGCGCCCUGUCCCUGUGUCCUCUCGGCCUCCGCUUCGGUCCCGUGGCUUCUGGAGUCUUCUAGAUGAUAGAAAAUUGCAUGGCACGUUAAUAUCUCUAUGUAAACCUGACGUGUGGGCCUUUCUUUUAUAUUUCCUGAUAACCCCCUGCAGAAAUACACAAACACCAAAACUUGUGGAAUUCUGUCAGAUAAAACCCUAAGUCUAGGUGUUGGUUGCAUUU
rnacentral:lncRNA from 1 species